GAUGAACGCUGGCGGCGUGCCUAAUACAUGCAAGUCGAGCGAACAGACGAGGAUCUUGCUCCGCGGACGUUAGCGGCGGACGGGUGAGUAACACGUGUAUAACCUACCUAUAAUACUGGGAUAACUUCGGGAAACCGGAUCUAAUACCGUAUAAGAUAUUGAACCGCAGUGGUCAAUGGUGAGAGACGGUGGUGGUGUCAGUAAUAGCGGGAUCCGGGCCUGAUUAGCUAGUUGGUAAGUUAACGGCUUACCAAGGGAACGAGGCGUAGACGAAGUGAGAGAGUGAUCGGCCACCCUGGAGCUGAGACACGGUCAAGGCUACUACGGGAGGCCGCAGUAGGGAAUGGUACGCAAUGGGCGAAAGCAUGACGGAGCAACGCGGAGUGAGUGAUGAAGGUCUUCGGAUCGUAAAACUCUGUUAUUAGGGAAGAACAAAUGUGUAAGUAAAUAUGCACGUCUUGACGGUAACUAAUAAGAAAGCAACGGCUAACUACGUG
rnacentral:rRNA from 1 species